GGUGACAAGUGACAGUCACCACCUCCCUCACUCUGUCACUAGUCACGCCUUCCUUCCCUCACUCUGCCACUAGUCACCCCAUCACUCUAGUGACAGAGUGAGGGAGGGUGUGACUAGUGACAGUUAGGCAGGGAAGGGGUGACUAGUGACAGAGGGAGGGGUGACUAGGGACAGAGUGAGGGAGGUGGUGACUAGUGACAGUCACCACCUCCCUCACUCUAUCACUAGUCACCACCUCCCUCCGUCACUGUGUCACCCCCUCCCUCACUCUGUCACCAGUCAUCCCCUUACUCUGUCACUAGUCACCCCUUCCCUCCCUCUGUCACUAGUCACACCCUCCCUCUCUCUGUCACUAGUCACACCCUCCCUCACUCUGUCACUAGAGUGAGGG